GGAAGUUUUGUUGGUUUUGCCUGCCCAGCAGCCUUUUCCUCGUAUUAUUCUAGCAAGGAGCAGCUCUUUCAGUUAAGAACAGCAUCUGGCUGGCUAGGCGGGUGUCCCCCUCCUCCCUCACCGAUCCAUGUGCGUCCCUCCCGAAGCUGCGCGCGCUCGGUGGAAGAGGACGACCUUCCCCACCGAGGAGAGGACCAGUCUUCGGUCAAGGGUAUACGAGUAGCUGCGCUCCCCUGCUAGAACCUCCAAACAAGCUCUCGAAGUGCUUCAAUGCUGAAAAUCGAGUGAUUAGUCAAGGGGUGGACAUAUGACGUAAGUAUGGGAAUGUGGGAAUCCUU
rnacentral:snRNA from 1 species